UAGGGAAUCUUCGGCAAUGGACGAAAGUCUGACCGAGCAACGCCGCGUGAGUGAAGAAGGUUUUCGGAUCGUAAAACUCUGUUGUUAGAGAAGAACAAGGACGUUAGUAACUGAACGUCCCCUGACGGUAUCUAACCAGAAAGCCACGGCUAACUACGUGCCAGCAGCCGCGGUAAUACGUAGGUGGCAAGCGUUGUCCGGAGUUAUUGGGCGGAAAGCGAGCGCAGGCGGUUUCUUAAGUCUGAUGUGAAAGCCCCCGGCUCAACCGGGGAGGGUCAUUGGAAACUGGGGGACUUGAGUGCAGAAGAGGAGAGUGGAAUUCCAUGUGUAGCGGUGAAAUGCGUAGAUAUAUGGAGGAACACCAGUGGCGAAGGCGGCUCUCUGGUCUGUAACUGACGCUGAGGCUCGAAAGCGUGGGGAGCAAACAGG
rnacentral:rRNA from 1 species